AUGCAGCUGCUCCAGCAGAAGUGUGAAGCUCUUGAGCAUCAGCAGAAAGAAAAGGACAACCUAAUAGACUAUUUUAGCAACAGUUGGUGCUAUAGCCUCGGUGGAGAUCACAUGGCAGCAAAGGAACUUUACCGUAUAAUAGAUAGCAACUUCACAGCCGGAUCAAUAUCCAAAGACAAUGAUUGGAAUCAUAUUUUGUCGCAAGUAAGAUAUGUUGCUGAUCAUACAGCCACACAAUCAGAGUAUGAACUCCAACAGACAAACAAGUACUACUGGAGCUUGGAUGAUGAUGUUGAAGGAAUUUCUGCUAUGAACAAUGAAAACAUCCAACCACAACCACUAUGA
rnacentral:rRNA from 1 species